GACGAACGCUGGCGGCGUGCUUAACACAUGCAAGUCGAGCGGUAAGGCCCUUUCGGGGGUACGACGAGCGGCGAACGGGUGGAGUAACACGUGGGUGGACCUCGCCCUCCAGCUCUGGGAGUAAGCCGUCGGGAAACCGGGUACUAAUACCGGAUAUGACUCCAUGACGCAUGUUGUGGGGUGGAAAGCCUUGUGCGGCUGAGGAGUGGGCCCGGCGGCCUAUCAGCUUGUUGGUGGGGU
rnacentral:rRNA from 1 species